rnacentral:misc_RNA from 1 species
AACGCAUAUUGCACCCGAGGCUUCGGCUAAGGGUAUGUCUGCCUCAGCGUCGAUGUAACCCUCAUUCACACAUACCAUGUGAGUGGAUCUGACCGUCCCGCAUAUUUGGGUCCCCUCAAGGAUUCAUUCGUGCGGGUCGGUUGAAGUUUGCAGAAGCUGAGAUGGACCGUCAUCACGGGACCUUUAUUCGUCGGUAAAACGAUGUCUAAAAAGGGCCACAUCUAGGUAGGCAAAGCCUGUCUUUCACGAGACUCGCCAAGCAUACUUUAGAGGUUGGUUCACCCUUGCUGUUGACGGCUCUGUAUGUCUCAUGCUUUCAAAACUGGAUUCGGAGGCGCAAGGGAAGGCGGUUCCUCUUUGGAGCUACCGACUCGAGUGUUUCUUCAUUCUUACAAAUUCGACCUGAGCUCAGGCAAGAACACCCGCUGAACUUAA